rnacentral:rRNA from 1 species
AUUGAACGCUAGCGGCAUGCUUAACACAUGCAAGUCGAACGGCAGCCCGGGGAGCUUGCUCCCUGGCGGCGAGUGGCGGACGGGUGAGUAAUGCGUAGGAAUCUACCUUACAGUGGGGGAUAAACCGGGGAAACUCGGGCUAAUACCGCAUAAUCUCUACGGAGCAAAGCAGAGGACCUUCGGGCCUUGUGCUUUAUGAUGAGCCUACGUCGGAUUAGCUAGUUGGUGGGGUAAAGGCCUACCAAGGCGACGAUCCGUAGCUGGUCUGAGAGGACGAUCAGCCACACUGGGACUGAGACACGGCCCAGACUCCUACGGGAGGCAGCAGUGGGGAAUAUUGGACAAUGGGGGAAACCCUGAUCCAGCAAUGCCGCGUGUGUGAAGAAGGCCUUCGGGUUGUAAAGCACUUUCAGCGGGGAAGAAAGAACCAAAAUUAAUACUUUUGGGUGUUGACGUUACCCGCAGAAGAAGCACUGGCUAACUCUGUGCCAGCCGCCGCAGUAA